rnacentral:lncRNA from 1 species
AACAACCGAUGCACUAGCGCAGCGCAGUGCCUGCCUGAUUAGCCCUUCUGCCGCUUUCUAGAGGCCUGGAGUGUUUUGUUCAAGAGCUACAUCAUUUAGCCUUGAGGGAAUACUUUUAACUGAGGACCAACUUCAUGCUGACCAAAUAUUUGAGGAGGAGAGCAAUAAACCCAGACCACCAAAAGAAGUCACCAUCUUUCUAUUUAAUCUGAUCAUCUUGGUCCACAAGAAGUCUAAAAAAUGGAGCAAACCAAAAGAACAGAUGGACAAAAAUGCUAUGCUGAUGGUCUCCAUUUGUCCCAAGAGGAGCUCUGAAGGGACUGAAGAGUUCACAAAGAGGCUGGUGGACAGGAAGACUCGUGACAGUGUCUGUCUCGAAACCCUUAUGAUCAUUCAUGUCUGUAGUGCGUGAGUUGGAUAUUUAUGGGCCUUUCCAGCUGAUAAGAAAUCAAUGAAAUGUUUUAUGGACCCUAUUCCACUUCCUUAUUAUUCUUUUGUUUUGUCUUCAAUUGGGAUUAUUUUAUUUCAACUUAUUGGUCCAUAGUACGAGCUAUCUUGACCUCUGGCUUAGAAAGGGCAGCAUAUUGAGCAAGAGUAUACAA